UCAGUGCAGGCCUUUAUACGGUGAAACCGCGAAUGGCUCAUUAAAUCAGCUAUGGUUUAUUGGAUCGUACCCGUUAAAUGGAUAACUGUAAUAACUCUAGAGCUAAUACAUGCCUCGAUGCCCUGACCCUCACGGGGAUGGGUGCACUUAUUAGAUCAGAAGCCAACCGUGUUCAGCCGUGGCAACAUGGCUGGGCGCGUUGACCUUCUGGUGACUCUGGAUAAUUGUUACAGAUCGCAGUCGGCCUUGAGUCGGCGACGGGUCCUUCAAAUGUCUGCCCUAUCAACUUUCGAUGGUAGGUGACCUGCCUACCAUGGUGAUAACGGGUAACGGGGAAUCAGGGUUCGAUUCCGGAGAGGGAGCCUGAGAAACGGCUACCACUUCCAAGGGAGGCAGCAGGCGCGCAAAUUACCCACUCCCAGUACGGGGAGGUGG
rnacentral:rRNA from 1 species